rnacentral:rRNA from 1 species
UACGUAGGGUGCAAGCGUUAAUCGGAAUUACUGGGCGUAAAGCGUGCGCAGGCGGUUUUGUAAGUCUGUCGUGAAAUCCCCGGGCUCAACCUGGGAAUUGCGAUGGAGACUGCAAGGCUAGAAUCUGGCAGAGGGGGGUAGAAUUCCACGUGUAGCAGUGAAAUGCGUAGAGAUGUGGAGGAACACCGAUGGCGAAGGCAGCCCCCUGGGCUGAGAUUGACGCUCAGGCACGGAAAGCGUGGGGAGCAAACAGG